GACGUAGGGUGCUAGCGUUGUCCGGAUUUAUUGGGCGUAAAGAGCGUGUAGGCGGCCAUACAGGUCAGCUGUGAAAACUCGAGGCUCAACCUCGAGACGUCGGUUGAAACCGUAUGGCUAGAGUCCGGAAGAGGAGAGUGGAAUUCCCGGUGUAGCGGUGAAAUGCGCAGAUAUCGGGAAGAACACCCGUGGCGAAGGCGGCUCUCUGGGCGGGUACUGACGCUGAGACGCGAAAGCGUGGGGAGCGAACAGG
rnacentral:rRNA from 1 species